GACGAACGCUGGCGGCGUGCCUAACACAUGCAAGUCGAACGGAGUUGUCUCUUCGGAGAUAACUUAGUGGCGAACGGGUGAGUAACGCGUGAGAAACCUGCCUUUCAGUGGGGGACAACAGUUGGAAACGACUGCUAAUACCGCAUAACGUAUCGAGGGGGCAUCCUCUUGAUACCAAAGCUUUAUGUGCUGAAAGAUGGUCUCGCGUCUGAUUAGCUAGAUGGCGGGGUAACGGCCCACCAUGGCGACGAUCAGUAGCCGGUCUGAGAGGAUGAACGGCCACAUUGGGACUGAGAUACGGCCCAGACUCCUACGGGAGGCAGCAGUGGGGAAUAUUGGGCAAUGGGGGAAACCCUGACCCAGCAACGCCGCGUGAAGGAAGAAGGCCUUCGGGUUGUAAACUUCUUUUACCAGGGACGAAGAACGUGACGGUACCUGGAGAAAAAGCAACGGCUAACUACGUG
rnacentral:rRNA from 1 species